AAACACUAUUUUUAAUAACUUCAAGAUAUUAUAAGCACAAAGUCUUUUAUUAUUUUUUAGGUUUUAUUUUUUAUUUUAUUUCAUUUUUAUUUUAUUUUAUUUUAUUUUUAUUUUAUUUUUAAUCCUAAUCCUAGACAACAAGCAUUGGCAAGCUAUAAUUCUCAAUCUGACCAUCCAAUUGUUAUAAACUUCUAUUACUAGUGUCUUUGCAAGCCUUCUAAAUGCUCAAGAAGUUUUAAUCCAAACUAACUUAGAGGUUGCAAGAAAAUGCCGUAAAUCCACACUAAUGUAUCUUGACCGCCACCUAGAUGUCCUCAACUUACCAUGUAAAAAUUCACCUUAUUCCAGCCAGUAGAUCUCCAGAUAUUACAGAAAUCCUAAACAACCUCAAUCUGCUAACUCCCAAUACCUCUUUACACUAAUGGUGAAAUAUCCUCUAUCUAUUCCAUCAGAUUAACACAAACUUUUGCAUGCGCUCGGCAUACUCAACCAUCUAGACACCCCUAAAUUUCAACCGCAAAAGUUUUUUUAAUUUUACAAAAUAGUUAAGAGUACUAGCCAUUACUUUAUUGUAAAAAAAACCCAACUCACCAAUACAAACACUGACUUUCAGCAAUGAUUGCAAAAGUCCCCCCAAACCUUAUGAAACCCAAUUCUAUACCUUUUGAAGGAGCUUGAAGUUAGCUCUUCGACUCCAAAAUCCUGAUCUCCAAAUGCCCCUUUCCUUAUCCUCUCUU
rnacentral:lncRNA from 1 species